rnacentral:ncRNA from 2 species
UUUGCCGAUACGUUUACAGGUGUCCGCUACCGGGCGGACUGAAAGGGAAGAUGGUGAGAAACCAUCGCGGACCCGCCGCUGUAAUCGGCGACGAAAGUUGCAAGCCCCGUACCUUUACUGGUGCUGGGCCGUAGGGGCGUUUAGUUAAACGCCCCUAUGAUGACGAAAGCCACUUCCGGUGCCAAUCCGCCUGAGGCGGAUAAAAGUACCGGGGGGAAGGCGCAACUAGUAGGAUGACCCGAUAGUCAGAAGACCUGCCUGUAAAUGUCUCACCAG